rnacentral:rRNA from 1 species
UGGGGAAUAUUGCACAAUGGGCGCAAGCCUGAUGCAGCCAUGCCGCGUGUAUGAUGAAGGCCUUCGGGUUGUAAAGCACUUUCAGCCGGGAGGAAGGUGUCAAGGUUAAUAACUUUGGCAAUUGACGUUACCGACAGAAGAAGCACCGGCUAACUCCGUGCCAGCAGCCGCGGUAAUACGGAGGGUGCAAGCGUUAAUCGGAAUUACUGGGCGUAAAGCGCACGCAGGCGGUUGAUUGAGUCAGAUGUGAAAUUCCCGGGCUUCACCCGGGAAUUGCAUCUGAUAAUGGUCAGCUAGAGUCUUGUAGAGGGGGGUAGAAUUCCAUGUGUGGCGGUGCAAUGCGUAAAGAUGUGGAGGAAUACCGGUGGCUAAGGCAGCCCCCUGGACAAAGACUGACACUCAGGUGCGAAAGCGUGGGGAGCAAACAGG